UGAGGAAUAUUGGUCAAUGGGCGAGAGCCUGAACCAGCCAAGUAGCGUGCAGGAUGACGGCCCUAUGGGUUGUAAACUGCUUUUAUGUGGGGAUAAAGUGCGUGACGUGUCAUGCAUUGCAGGUACCACAUGAAUAAGGACCGGCUAAUUCCGUGCCAGCAGCCGCGGUAAUACGGAAGGUCCGGGCGUUAUCCGGAUUUAUUGGGUUUAAAGGGAGCGUAGGCUGUCUAUUAAGCGUGUUGUGAAAUUUACCGGCUCAACCGGUGGCUUGCAGCGCGAACUGGUCGACUUGGGUAUGCAGGAAGUAGGCGGAAUUCAUGGUGUAGCGGUGAAAUGCUUAGAUAUCAUGACGAACUCCGAUUGCGCAGGCAGCUUACUGUAGCAUAACUGACACUGAUGCUCGAAAGUGCGGGUAUCAAACAGG
rnacentral:rRNA from 1 species